rnacentral:rRNA from 1 species
CCCGGUGGAGUUUCGUCUUUAAACGGUUGCUGUUUAGAGCAGUACGAAGGUAGCGCAGUAAAUCGUCCUUUGAUUUGGGAAUAGUAUGAAUGGCUUGACGUGAGGAGGUCUGUCUCGGACUCAUUUGUUGAUGUUUAUUUCUGUGUGAAAAGGCUCAGAUUUUUUCAUUAGACGAGAAGACCCCGUCGAGCUUGAUGGGGGCUGGGGGAUCGUUCUUAGUUCGAAGUUUAGCUGGGGUGACUUGAUGCAGAAUUAACGCAUUUGAAGUAUUAGGUGUGAAGAUCCUCUAUUAGGGACAUGAAGAAAAAGCUACCGCGGGGAUAACAGCGUAAUGUCCUUGGAAAGGUCUUAUUGAAGAGGGGUGUUGCGACCUCGAUGUUGAAUUAGGGUUUCGUCUUGGCGCAGCCGUUGAGAUAGUGGGACUGUUCGUCCUUUAAAAUUCUACGUGAUCUGA